UGGGAUGUUUAACUUAUAAAAUGGUCAAAUAUUUUUUUUAUAUGUUACAUGCAAAAGGAGAAAAAAUAUGGUUAAAAUUCUCAAAUUUGUUUAUACUUUUAUCAUCUUUCAUUUUCUAAUUCUUCUUGGUACCAAUGACGGCAUGAAAGAUCUUUUGCCUGUCAUUAAUCGAUAUGGUCAUCAUAUUACCUGCAUUACUGUCGCUGAUUGUCCAGAUCACAAAUGUCAAGAUCGUUUUGUUUUGAAAUGCAUUAACAAUAAAUGUUAUUACUUAUAAGCAUAUAAAUUUGAAAAAUAAUUAUAUAUUAUAUAUUACUUGUAAGUGUAUAGUUUUAUUUGUAUGCCAUAAUUAUGGUAAUUCUAUAAUUUAUCACACUUUAAUUUAAAUUUGAUUUGUUGGACCUUUCUA